rnacentral:pre_miRNA from 1 species
GGGGGGAGGCCGGAUUCUGGGCUGUGUCCCGGUGCCCUGUGCUCCGGGGCCUGCGCUGUUGGAUUCGCACUCCCGCCUGGCAGCCCCCU